GUGAAGAACGUAGCGAAAUGCGAUACGUAAUGUGAAUUGCAGAAUUCAGUGAAUCAUCGAGUCUUUGAACGCACAUUGCGCCCUCUGGUAUUCCGGAGGGCAUGCCUGUCCGAGCGUCAUUGCUGCCCUCAAGCACGGCUUGUGUGUUGGGCCCCGCCCCCCGAUCCCGGGGGGCGGGCCCGAAAGGCAGCGGCGGCACCGCGUCCGGUCCUCGAGCGUAUGGGGCUUUGUCACCCGCUCUGUAGGCCCGGCCGGCGCCUGCCGAUCAACCAAACUUUUUUCCAGGUUGACCUCGGAUCAGGUAGGGAUACCCGCUGAACUUAAGCAUAUCAAUAAGCGGAGGA
rnacentral:misc_RNA from 1 species